rnacentral:misc_RNA from 1 species
GAUGAAGAACGUAGCGAAAUGCGAUAAGUAAUGUGAAUUGCAGAAUUCAGUGAAUCAUCGAAUCUUUGAACGCACAUUGCGCCCGCCAGUAUUCUGGCGGGCAUGCCUGUUCGAGCGUCAUUUCAACCAUCAAGCCCCAGGCUUGUGUUGGGGACCUGCGGCUGCCGCAGGCCCUGAAAACCAGUGGCGGGCUCGCUGUCACACCGGGCGUAGUAGAUUUUAUCUCGCUCAGGGCGUGCUGCGGGUUCCGGCCGUUAAAAAGCCUUUUUUACCCAAGGUUGACCUCGGAUCAGGUAGGAAGACCCGCUGAACUUAAGCAUAUCAUUAAGCGGAGGA